AUUAAGAAGGCCAGGCUCCCCACCGUCUCCUCCUCCUCCGCCGGUCACACCACUCGUCCCCUCCUUUCUCUACCCCGCACACCCUCUCUCGUGCAGCAAACCCCAGCGCUCCCUGAUCCAGAUCCCUCUCCUCCCCUGGUCGCCACCCACCCCUCCCCCGCCGCCACCGACCUCCAACACCCACCCCUCCCCUUGUUGCCACCCACCUCCACCACACGUUCCUUCCCCACCUUAGAUCCUCUCCCCACUCCCAGAUCCAACUUGCCACUGGAGAACAAGGAGGUCGCGGCCAGGAUCUUCGAGACGCGGUGGUCGUCGACGCGGGGUCAUGACGCAGAGCUGGCCAUGGAGGCGGUGGUCGUUGAUGAGGUGUCCAAGCUACUGAAGGCCGGCAUCGUGCUGUCCGAGAUCUCCUCUGCUCCCCGGGCUGGUGAUGCCCUCGAAGGUGAAGACGGGCUGAGAUGGCAGGCUGCUAGUUGCCUCGGCGUCGAAGAUGAAGAUGAAGGUGGAGGAGAGCGAGCGUGGGUGGUCGUGCUGAAGGUGUCCCUGCACUGCAAAGUGUGCGCUGGCAAGGUGAAGAAGCACCUCACCAAGAUGGAAGGUGAGCACCAACAUCUCUUAAAGUUUGGUGAAAAAAUAAUGCAUCUUGAAUCCUGGGAAGACCAGUUACUUACUAAUAGUAUGUCAUUAGAGGAUAUGCUAUAG
rnacentral:rRNA from 1 species